rnacentral:rRNA from 1 species
AUUGAACGCUGGCGGCAGGCUUAACACAUGCAAGUCGAGCGGAGAUGAGGUGCUUGCACCUUAUCUUAGCGGCGGACGGGUGAGUAAUGCUUAGGAAUCUGCCUAUUAGUGGGGGACAACAUUCCGAAAGGAAUGCUAAUACCGCAUACGUCCUACGGGAGAAAGCAGGGGAUCUUCGGACCUUGCGCUAAUAGAUGAGCCUAAGUCGGAUUAGCUAGUUGGUGGGGUAAAGGCCUACAAAGGCGACGAUCUGUAGCGGGUCUGAGAGGGUGAUCCGCCACCCUGGGACUGAGACACGGCCCAGACUCCUACGGGGGGCAGCAGUGGGUAAUAUUUGACAAUGGGGGGAAACCUGAUCCAACCAUGCCGCGUGUGUGAAGAAAGCCUUAUGGUUGUAAAGCACGUUAAGCGAGGAGGAGGCUACUGAGACUAAUACUCUUGGAUAGUGGACGUUACUCGCAGAAUAAGCACCGGCUAACUCUGUGCCAGCCGCCGCCGUAA